AUUCCAGCUCCAAUAGCGUAUAUUUAAGUUGCUGCAGUUAAAAAGCUCGUAGUUGGAUUUCGGGCGGUUGACGACGGUCCGCCUCUGGUGUGCACUGCCGUUCUUCCGCCUUUCUGUCGGGGACGUGCUCCUAGGCUUCAUUGUCUGGGACACGGGUUCGACGUGGUUACUUUGAGUAAAUUAGAGUGUUCAAAGCAGGCAUCGCCUUGAAUAUAUUAGCAUGGAAUAGCACGAUAGGACUCCGGCCUAUUUUGCUGGUCUGUAGGACCGGAGUAAUGAUUAAGAGGGACAGUCAGGGGCACUCGUAUUCCGCCGAGAGAGGUGAAAUUCUCAGACCAGCGGAAGACGAACCACUGCGAAAGCAUUUGCCAGGGAUGUUUUCAUCG
rnacentral:rRNA from 1 species